GGUAGAGUGGCCGAGUGGUUAUGGCGCUGGUUUUAGGCUUACCUAAUCGUUACCUUCACCAGUGGGAAACCGCGCGAGUUCGAAUCUCGUCUCUAUCA